rnacentral:lncRNA from 1 species
UGCGGGAGGUGGGGGAGAGGAGCUCGUUUUCACCUAGGGAAGACGAAUGACAGCCAUAGAAGAAGAGGCAUCAUCCUGUCUCUAAAUGGCAGGAGGACUUUGUAUAAGCCUUCCAGACAAUGGAAGCCAUGUGGGCGAAGACUCAGGUCACCCAAAGAACACCCUAUUGUCUGAAGGGGCUGCUUCUGUUGUGGCUGGAAUCAAAGACUGGGACAACGACAUCUCUGCUUUAACAAGUUCAUGUAAAGAACCACGUACCAUCCAAAGGCCCGGGGAAGAAAUUACAGGUAAAGAACAAGCCCAAGCUGAUAAAUUCGUCAGAAAGUAUAUCCUAAAGUGAACCAUUCAUCUCACCUGCUAUGCAAGACUUCAACUGUGAUGGUGACACAGAUGGAAAAUGGACUGGAGCUUUACUGACAGUCAGUGGUUCUAGGUCAGCCUCGGUAUGCAGGAUUCACAAAGUGAAGUUGGAGAAGGAGAACUGAAGUCUAAGAACUUGCAGGUGAACAGGGAAAAUUACAUUUGAAAGGAAGCGAAACCACACAAGCCCUAGAUGCACCAUUGGUAAAUUCCUCAACUUCCAAAGAAGGAUUUCACUGUGUGGACUCUUGUGGAUGGAACAGAG